GUAUCGUUUAACGGUCCUAUAGUGUAGCGGUUAGCACUCUGGACUUUGAAUCCAGCAGCGGCGGUUCAAAUCCGCCUAGGACCUAG
rnacentral:tRNA from 1 species